rnacentral:rRNA from 1 species
UACAGGGGGUGCAAACGUUGCUCGGAAUCAUUGGGCGUAAAGCGCACGUAGGCGGUUCGUUAUGUCGGAUGUGAAAGCCCUUGGCUUAACCGAGGAAGUGCAUCCGAAACUGGCGAGCUAGAGUACUAAAGAGGAUCGCGGAAUUCCCGGUGUAGAGGUGAAAUUCGUAGAUAUCAGGAGGAACACCAAUGGCGAAGGCAGCUCGCUGGGACGGUACUGACGCUGAGACGCGAAAGCGUGGGGAGCAAACAGG